ACGGGAGAGCGUUACUCGGAAUCACUGGGCGUAAAGGGCGGSGUAGGCGGUUAGGUAAGUUGGAUGUGAAAGCCCACGGCUCAACCGUGGAACUGCGUCCAAAACUGCCUGACUAGAGUCCGGGAGAGGCAGGUGGAAUUGGUGGUGUAGGGGUAAAAUCCGUAGAGAUCACCAGGAAUACCCAUUGCGAAGGCGACCUGCUGGAACGGUACUGACGCUGAGGCGCGAAAGUGUGGGGAGCAAACAGGAUUAGAUACCCUGGUAGUCCACGCCCUAAACGAUGGAUGCUAGUCGUUGGGACCCAUGAGGUUUCAGUGAUGCAGCUAACGCAAUAAGCAUCCCGCCUGGGGAGUACGGCCGCAAGAUAAAAACUCAAAGGAAUAGACGGGGACCCGCACAAGCGGUGGAGCAUGUGGUUUAAUUCGAAGAUGCGCGAGAAACCUUACCUGGGCUUGACAUCCCUGGAACCCUGCAGAGAUGCGGGGGUGCCCUUUUUAGGGGGAGCCAGGUGACAGGUGCUGCACGGCUGUCGUCAGCUCGUGUCGUGAGAUGUUGGGUUAAGUCCSSCAACGAGCGCAACCUUCGCCCUUAGUUGCCAGCACUUCGGGUGGGAUUCUAGUGAGACUGCCGGGGUUACCGGGAGGAAGGUGAGGAUGACGUCAAGUCAUCAUGGCCCUUAUGCCCAGGGCGACACACGUGCUACAAUGGCGCGUACAGAGAGAGGGAUACCGCGAGGUGGAGUAUUCUUUAAAGCGCGUCCCAGUUCGGAUCGGAGUCUGCAACUCGACUCCGUGAAGUCGGAAUCGCUAGUAAUCGCGGAUCAGCCAUGCCGCGGUGAAUACGUUCCCGGGUCUUGUACUCACCGCCCGUCACACCAUGGGAGUUGAGCUCACCCGAAGCCGGGGGACCGACCCGUAAGGGAGGACCCUCGUCGACGGUGGGCUC
rnacentral:rRNA from 1 species